rnacentral:rRNA from 1 species
CCAAUAGCGUAUAUUAAAGUUGUUGCAGUUAAAAAGCUCGUAGUUGAAUUUCGGGGUUAGUAGGUUGGUCAUGCCUCUGGUAUGUACUGGUCUCACUGAUUCCUCCUUCCUGAUGAGCCGUAAUGCCAUUAAUUUGGUGUUGCGGGGAAUUUGGACUGUUACUUUGAAACAAUUAGAGUGUUUAAAGCAAGCUAACGCUUGAAUACAUUAGCAUGGGAUAAUGAAAUAGGACGUUCGAUCCUAUUUUGUUGGUUUCUAGGAUUGACGUAAUGAUUAAUAGGGAUAGUUGGGGGCAUUAGUAUUCAAUUGUCAGAGGUGAAAUUCUUGGAUUUAUUGAAGACUAACUACUGCGAAAGCAUUUGCCAAGGAUGUUUUCAUUAAUCAAGAACGAAAGUUAGGGGAUCGAAGACGAUCAGAUACCGUCGUAGUCUUAACCAUAAACUAUGCCGACUAGGGAUCGGAUGAUGUUAAUUUUUUAAUGACUCAUUCGGCGCCUUACG